CGAGGCUGUGGUUCAGCUCGUGUUGUGAAAUGUUGGGUUAAGUCCCGCAACGAGCGCAACCCUUAUCCUUUGUUGCCAGCGGUUCGGCCGGGAACUCAAAGGAGACUGCCAGUGAUAAACUGGAGGAAGGUGGGGAUGACGUCAAGUCAUCAUGGCCCUUACGAGUAGGGCUACACACGUGCUACAAUGGCAUAUACAAAGAGAAGCGACCUCGCGAGAGCAAGCGGACCUCAUAAAGUAUGUCGUAGUCCGGAUUGGAGUCUGCAACUCGACUCCAUGAAGUCGGAAUCGCUAGUAAUCGUGGAUCAGAAUGCCACGGUGAAUACGUUCCCGGGCCUUGUACACACCGCCCGUCACACCAUGGGAGUGGGUUGCAAAAGAAGUAGGUAGCUUAACCUUCGGGAGGGCGCUUACCACUUGUACUACC
rnacentral:rRNA from 1 species